GGAGUGCGUUCAGAGCAGGGGCGGUGCCGGAUAACGCACUCCAGAGGAAUCUGAGUCCAUCCGUAAUGAGGAGCAUGCAAGGUGCGGUGGCCUUUCUACGAACAAAGGCCCUACUGCU